AUCUUAAGCUUUUCAUUGUUCUUUUUACCGCUCCCCCCCUUCCCGUCACCUGCGAGCACGUCCAGGUUUCUUGUAUCGUCCCAACGCGCUACUGGAGACGUAGUGGAUCUUCGAUUUCGCUGCAUGAUUCAUCGAUUCCGGUUUCAACCGUUCCCAUGUGAUCUCCGUUAGUCUCCUCCUCUAUCCCAGCUCUUUCGUCGUUCAUCUUCGCACACAGAAGAAUCUCGUUCUCCGUUGUGUUUGGCUUGCCACCUUUUCUUUUUUCCCCUAGUUCUGCUCCACGAGGUCGAGAUCGAGCACGGAGACAUUGCAAGAUCUCGAGCUGAGAUUUGGCCUGUCUACCCUAUACAAAUGCCAGAUUUGGCAGCAAGUCGCUUAAGGGGUUGUCCUGAGUUAAUACUGUUAUACUGAUCGAAGACGGCGAUGACGAUGUGCGGAUGUAUCCUCCUGCGUCUUGCGGAGAGAUGGUUGGGUUCAAUCCAUAGUCAAGUUACUCCAGUUCAUGUGCACCUGCAAUUGAGAAGAUGAUCUAGAACUUCGGCUUGGAGUUGGAGCUUCUAAUCAGUAUCUUGGGAGUUUAAAUGGCUGGAGUACUACAUCAGAAAACAGAUCGAAAGGACCAAAUGCUUGGAAUUCCGGCAAGAUAUGUCUUUGAAUCUUUUCCUCUCCAGAUGAUUAUUUCUUGUAACUUAACUGAAAUAUGAACUCCGGGAAGGAACUGAAUGCAGGAAAGCUCAAAGUUACUAGUUCUUCUUUCAUAGUUAGCUUGUCACUCAUACCUGUUUCUUUCUUUAAUGUUGUAUACAUCUAAAAAAAAAAUGCUGUAUGCAUCUACUAUGGAGCUUAAUAGAAUUUCUGGAACCUCCGUUUCCUUGUUUGUA